rnacentral:rRNA from 1 species
GACGAACGCUGGCGGCGUGCUUAACACAUGCAAGUCGAACGAUGAAGCCGGAGCUUGCUCCGGUGGAUUAGUGGCGAACGGGUGAGUAACACGUGAGCAAUCUGCCCUUGACUCUGGGAUAACUGCGGGAAGCUGUAGCUAAUACCGGAUACGACACCUUGGGGCAUCCCAGGGUGUGGAAAGAAUUUCGGUCAAGGAUGAGCUCGCGGCCUAUCAGCUAGUUGGUGAGGUAAUGGCUCACCAAGGCGACGACGGGUAGCCGGCCUGAGAGGGUGACCGGCCACACUGGAACUGAGACACGGUCCAGACGCCUACGGGAGGCAGCAGUGGGGAAUAUUGCACAAUGGGCGAAAGCCUGAUGCAGCAACGCCGCGUGAGGGAUGAAGGCCUUCGGGUUGUAAACCUCUUUUAGCAGGGAAGAAGCGAAAGUGACGGUACCUGCAGAAAAAGCACCGGCUAACUACGUGCCAGCAGCCGCCGUAA